CCAGUUUCUCCCCUAGGUCAGAGGAAACAUUUAUAAAAACAAAACAGCAGAACCAAGAAACUAAUUCUCCGGGCACGGAAUUAUUUGUUUUUCCCUCCUGUGAUUCCAAGCCCAAACUAAGUCUUCACAUCUACAAACCGAUCCUUUUUAUUAAGAAAAAGUAAAAGAAAUCGCUCACGAUCCGUUUGACUGGUGUUUCAACUUGCGGUCGGGAACUUAAAUUUCGGAACUGCAAGUUGCACGACAAGUUCCUGAUAAACAAUUUAGUGUCCUCUUUCACACCUCUGUAGACGGCACCGCACCUUUCCUCCCGGGACAGCAGGUUCCCCGCCGGCGCCGCCCUGCACCUGCUGGAGCCACAGUUCGGACUCGGGACCGCGAGGGUCAAUUUCUUAGGGCGACAGUCCCCGCGCCGCGGCGUUCUCGGUUACAGGGGCCACCCGCCCUUGAACUUGAAGCGCACGGGACCAAACACUUGGCCGAGCUGGGGUGUUCGGGUCGGAACGCCACCCCGAGCGGAGGCUCGCGGGCCGGAAUGCCACCGCCGCUCGGCGUCCAGGCACCCGGCGGUCCCGCCUGUGCGCACUCACCUCCGCCGUACAUCUGGCACAGUCUUCUGCUUUGGUUUAGACUUCCAGCAAAAUGUUGAUGUCAUCUGAGGGUAACAGAAUGCAGUGUUCUGCAGAUUAAAGGGGACUGUACAAGUAUAGAUGUUACCAGCUUCUCUAACAUUAAAAAGUUCACUCACUAACGCAAAAGGAUGGCUCUUCUUCCCACUCUAAACUGCUGUCUACCAUGAAGAAAUCUCACUGUACUUGCAUGGAGGCUCUGGAGCAUAUGACAGAGGCGUAUUUGGGACAAUAGAAAAGAAUCAUUACAUUUUUUUUCUCUUCGCAAUUACAGAACUGAAGAUAAGAAUGAUAGUUCUAAUAUUACAAGGAAAGCCUAAACAUUGGAAAAAGAACAGAAUAUGACAAAAUGCUUCUAAAUACAUGCCUGAGGUGAAUGGAGAUAGCUUGUAUGUUCAUGUGUGGCAGGUUCUAGACAAAAUCUCCAGUCUUUAAUCUUCAGAUUCAUAUCUGGAAAUAGAAUUGAGAGCAUAAUGUCCUUUUUGUUCUUGCUACUGCCAUGAGUGAAGUCCCUCUGGUAGCUAUCCCAGGAGUGCUGUUACUACUCAUUUUACAGCCCCACUGCAGCAGAAGUCAGUUAUACUCAGGGCUAGUUCAUUUUACAGCCCCACUGCAGCAGAAGUCAGUUAUACUCAGGGCUAGUUCAUUUUACAGCCCCACUGCAGCAGAAGUCACUUAUACUCAGGGCUAGUGCUAUUAUGGUGACUUGGAGUCUACACCAGAUCACCUAAGAUAUCUUCAGAUUCUAGGCCUGCAUUUAAAAUUUAGACCCUUGAUAUCUUAGUACAAUUGCAACAAACCUAAAAUCAACAAGAACAGCUAACAUGUCUAUGAGUUAAGGGUUAGCAAACCUCCUCCCAAGACAAAUCUAAUCUUGAAUUCACUUUAUAGAUGUCUUCCCUGAGAACAAAUGCAAAAUGUCAGCUUCAGCUGGGUUUCUAUGCAAAGCCACUGAUGACAAAAUGACCCCAACUAGCAAAGGACAUCAGUGCCAGAACACUGCGAAGUAUAAAUACCUAGCGUUGCCUUGCUAGUUGCUGUUUCUGUGCCUUUGCCUGCAACUGAGUACAGUGUGGUGAGGAAAAAGGUCUAGCUGAGCCUAAAAGCAACCCUGUAGCUCAUUGGCAAGUGGGGAGAGGAACCCCAAGCCAGGAGCAGCCAGCUUACUUUGCCAGUCUUUUCCGUAGGUCUUUGAUUUGAUCAUUCUUUUUGGUGAGAAUCUCUUUCAUGUUUCGAUAAGCUGCUGUUUGUUGAAAUUUCUUCUCUAACUCCUGUUUUAUGAAAAAUGUUGUCAGCCCAUUACUAAGGAACGUUAAGGGAAGAAUAACAAAUGUGAUUAAAAAA
ensembl:processed_transcript Gm17200 predicted gene 17200